rnacentral:tRNA from 2 species
GGAGAGGUGGCUGAGUGGCCGAAAGCGGCGCCGUGCUAAGGCGUUAGGGAUGAAAGUCCCUCGUGGGUUCGAAUCCCACCCUCUCCGCCA